rnacentral:rRNA from 1 species
GACGAACGCUGGCGGCGUGCUUAACACAUGCAAGUCGAACGGAAAGGCCCUGCUUUUGUGGGGUGCUCGAGUGGCGAAAGGGUGAGUAACACGAGAGUCACCUGCCCUUGACUUUGGGAUAACUUCAGGAAACUGAGGCUAAUACCUGACAGGAGCUCCUGCUGCAUGGUGUGGGUUGGAAAGUUUCGGCGGUUGGGGCUGGACUCGCGGCUUAUCAGCUUGUUGGUGGGGUAGUGGCUUACCAAGGCCUUGACGGGUAGCCGGCCUGAGAGGGUGACCGGCCACAUUGGGACUGAGAUACGGCCCAGACUCCUACGGGAGGCAGCAGUGGGGAAUAUUGCACAAUGGGCGGAAGCCUGAUGCAGCAACGCCGCGUGCGGGAUGACGGCCUUCGGGUUGUAAACCGCUUUCGCCUGUGACGAAGCGUGAGUGACGGUAAUGGGUAAAGAAGCACCGGCUAACUACGUG